AACGAACGCUGGCGGCGUGCCUAACACAUGCAAGUCGAACGGAGUUGUUACUUCGGUGAUAACUUAGUGGCGAACGGGUGAGUAACGCGUGAGGAACCUACCUUUCAGUGGGGGACAACAGUUGGAAACGACUGCUAAUACCGCAUAAUGUCAUCGAGCGGCAUCGCUUGAUGACCAAAGAUUUAUUGCUGAAAGAUGGCCUCGCGUCUGAUUAGCUAGUUGGUGAGGUAACGGCUCACCAAGGCGACGAUCAGUAGCCGGUCUGAGAGGAUGAACGGCCACAUUGGGACUGAGAUACGGCCCAGACUCCUACGGGAGGCAGCAGUGGGGAAUAUUGGGCAAUGGGGGAAACCCUGACCCAGCAACGCCGCGUGAAGGAAGAAGGCCUUCGGGUUGUAAACUUCUUUUAGCAGGGACGAAGAACGUGACGGUACCUGCAGAAAAGCAACGGCUAACUACGUG
rnacentral:rRNA from 1 species